CUACGGGGCGCAGCAGUGGGGAAUAUUGGACAAUGGGUGAGAGCCUGAUCCAGCAAUUCCGUGUGUGUGAAGAAGGUCUUCGGAUUGUAAAGCACUUUCAAUAGGGAAGAAAAAAAUGACGGUACCUAUAGAAGAAGCACCGGCUAAUUACGUGCCAGCAGCCGCGGUAAGACGUAAGGUGCAAGCGUUAUCCGGAAUCACUGGGCAUAAAGGGCGUCUAGGCGGCUAAACAAGGCAGAGGUGAAAAGGCAGGGCUCAACCUUGUCCUUGCCUUUGAAACUGUAUAGCUAGAAUACGGGAGAGGAGGGCGGAACUACAAGUGUAGCGGUGAAAUGCGUAGAUAUUUGUAGGAAUGCCGAUGUCGAAGGAAGCUCUCUGGACCGAUAUUGACGCUGAAGCGCGAAAGCUAGGGUAGCAAACCGGAUUAGAUACCCUCGUACUC
rnacentral:rRNA from 1 species